rnacentral:pre_miRNA from 1 species
AAUAUACUCCCUCCGUCCGAAAAUACUUGUCAUCAAUUUGAAUAAAAAGAGAUGUAUCUAGAUGUAUUUUAGUUAUAGAUACAUCCCUUUUUGUCCAUUUUGAUGACAAGUAUUUUCGGACGGAGGGAGUAUAUG